GGGACAACCCGCCGAAAGGCGGGCUAAACCCGCGUACAUGCCACCGGGGCAUCCCGGAGGCAGGAAAGGCUUCGGCCGGACAGGGAUGGGCAUGCGGCGCAUUAGGCAGUAGGCGGGGUAACGACCCACCUAACCGACGAUGCGUAGGGGUUCUGAGAGGAAGGUCCCCCACACUGGUACUGAGACACGGACCAGACUCCUACGGGAGGCAGCAGUGAGGAAUAUUGGUCAAUGGUCGGGAGACUGAACCAGCCAAGCCGCGUGAGGGAGGAAGGUACAGAGUAUCGUAAACCUCUUUUGUCAGGGAACAAAGACUGGGACGCGUCCCCGGAUGAGUGUACCUGAAGAAAAAGCAUCGGCUAACUCCGUGCCAGCAGCCGCGGUAAUACGGAGGAUGCGAGCGUUAUCCGGAUUUAUUGGGUUUAAAGGGUGCGCAGGCGGUCUGUUAAGUCAGCGGUCAAAGCCCGGGGCUCAACCCCGGCCCGCCGUUGAAACUGGCAGUCUCGAGUUGGAGAGAAGUAUGCGGAAUGCGCGGUGUAGCGGUGAAAUGCAUAGAUAUCGCGCAGAACUCCGAUUGCGAAGGCAGCAUGCCGGCCCCACACUGACGCUGAGGCACGAAAGCGUGGGUAUCGAACAGGAUUAGAUACCCUGGUAGUCCACGCAGUAAAC
rnacentral:rRNA from 1 species